rnacentral:lncRNA from 1 species
AACAAUUGUCCUCACAAGCAAAACAUCAUUUUCAUCAUUAUUCAUCUGCUUUUAAGUGUCGAACUUCGGUGCUUCACAGGAUACAAAAAAAUCAUAGAAUUGCAGAUGCCACUGCUCUGCUCUACAUCUUAAUUCUACACUUAUGGAAGAUGUUUACUUAGGAAUAUACUUGCUGUAAUUAUAAACCAGAAAAGACUUCAACAUGAGGAGGUAUCAAGCAGAUCUAGUAUUGCAAGACUUACUUUCAUCUGUGUUGUCUGGAAGAAAAACAUAGCAUGUGUUGAAGAAGAUGCUUUCCUCAAAGAUUCUUCAGACUUCAAGGG